AAAGACUGCAAUUUAGAGCAGUAGCAAAGCUUAGCUGUAGCCCAAAACGGCAGAUCGAUACUGAUAGGGCUGGCCGACAUGCAGCAACAGUACCAUCAGGCACUCAUCUCCCGAGUCGUAACAGCUUUAGAAUUGUGGUGUCCGCUGUGAUAAUAAACACAACAAAAUACUCAUGAGUUUUAGUUUCUCAGAUUCUGGAAAGCGGGCACAAACUUGCAAGAUAUCUCGAGAAGAGUCGCUCCCAUCAUUUUUGCUGCAUCAUUACCUUUGCUAGAAUCACCAUCAACAGAUAGGCAGACCUGAAAGGUUUUAUGAUUGUCAAGAUUAUCACCCAACAAGUAGAUUGCUGUAAAUGGAAGAACAU
rnacentral:lncRNA from 1 species